rnacentral:ncRNA from 1 species
AUUUAGAAUUUAUUUGUACUAAUAUUUAUUUUUUAUUAAUUUGAGUUAGUUUGAUUCUGGCUUUAAUAUUAAUUUUAUGGAGUGUAUACAUACGAAUGUGGAAUAUAUUUUAUUUUUGUAGUAUUUAAUAUUAAAAAUGAAGUUAAUUUUGAUUUAGAUAUUUGUUAUAUUAUUGUAUAUGUUUGUGCCAGCCUACGCGGUUAUACAAUAAAUAUUAAUUAAUAAUUUUAGUUUAGUGAAGAUAAAUUUAUUUUUUGGAGUUAAUAUUUAUAUUUUUAGGUGAAAUUUGAAUAUCUUUUUAACUUUUUUUUGAAUCUUUUAAAUUUUUUAUUUAAACUAGGAUUAGAUACCCUAUUAUUUAGAAUGUAAAUUGUUGCUUAGGUAUUAAUAGUUAUUUUCUUUAAACCUAAAGGAUUUGGCGGUGUUUUAUUCUACUUAGAGGAACUUGUUUAGUAAUCGAUAAUCCUCGUUUUAUCUUACUUAAUUUUGUUUAUCAGCAUGUAUAUCGUUGUUAUAAGUUUAUUUUUUAAGAAUUAAUUAAUUUACUUAUUAAUAUAUUUUUUUAUAUUUCAAAUCAAGGUGCAGCUAAUAAUUAAGUUUUUAUGAGUUACAAUAAUUUUUAUUAUACGAAUAUUGAUUUUAUAAUUUUGUUGAAGGUGGAUUUAAUAGUAAUUUAUAUAAUAAAGUAUAUUUGAAUAUAGCUCUGAAAUGAGUACAUAUCGCCCGUCACUCUCAAUUAAUUGAGAUAAGUCGUAACAUAGUAGGUGUACUGGAAAGUGUACCUAGAUUA